GGGGGACAGACGCUGGCGGCGUGCCUAAUACAUGCAGUCGAGCGGACCGACGGGAGCUUGCUCCCUUAGGAAGCGGCGGACGGGUGAGUAACACGUGGGUAACCUGCCUGUAUAAAUGGGAUAACUCCGGGAAACCGGGGCUAAUACCGGAUGCUUGAUUGAACCGCAUGGUUCAAUCAUAAAAGGUCUCCUUUAACUACCACUUACAGAUGGACCCGCGGCGCAUUAACUAGUUGGUGAGGUAACGGCUCACCAAGGCGACGAUGCGUAGCCGACCUGAGAGGGUGAUCGGCCACACUGGGACUGAAACACGGCCCAAACUCCUACGGGAGGCAGCAGUAGGGAAUCUUUUCUCAAUGGGACGAAAGUCUGACGGAAACAACGCCGCGUGAAUGAUGAAGGUUCUCCUGAUCUUAAAAAUUUGUUUUUUUUGGAUUA
rnacentral:rRNA from 1 species